UAGGGCCACAUCAAGUUGAAACCUCAGUCCUCGUCCGAUCACCGAUGUUAAGCAAAGUCGAGCCUGGUCAGUACCUAGAUGGGUGACCGCUUGGAAAUGCC